AGUGAACGCUGGCGGUAGGCCUAACACAUGCAAGUCGAACGGCAGCACAGUAAGAGCUUGCUCUUACGGGUGGCGAGUGGCGGACGGGUGAGGAAUACAUCGGAAUCUACUUUUUCGUGGGGGAUAACGUAGGGAAACUUACGCUAAUACCGCAUACGACCUACGGGUGAAAGCAGGGGAUCUUCGGACCCUGCGCGAUUGAAUGAGCCGAUGUCGGAUUAGCUAGUUGGCGGGGUAAAGGCCCACCAAGGCGACGAUCCGUAGCUGGUCUGAGAGGAUGAUCGGCCACACUAGAACUGAGACACGGUCCAGACUCCUACGGGAGGCAGCAGUGCGGAAUAUUGGCCAAUGGGCGCAAGCCUGAUCCAGCCAUACCGCGUCGGUGCAGCAGGCCUUCGGGUUGUAAAGCCCUUUUGUUGGGAAAGAAAAGCAGCAGGUUAAUACCCCGCUGUUCUGACGGUACCCAAAGAAUAAGCACCGGCUAACUUCGUG
rnacentral:rRNA from 1 species